rnacentral:rRNA from 1 species
UACGUAGGGGGCGAGCGUUGUCCGGAAUUAUUGGGCGUAAAGGGUUCGCAGGCGGUCUGAUAAGUCAGAUGUGAAAGGCUAUGGCUCAACCAUAGCAAGCAUUUGAAACUGUCAGACUUGAGUUAAGGAGAGGAAAGUGGAAUUCCUAGUGUAGCGGUGAAAUGCGUAGAUAUUAGGAGGAAUACCAGUGGCGAAGGCGACUUUCUGGACUUAUACUGACGCUGAGGAACGAAAGCGUGGGGAGCAAACAGG